AACUCAACAAAAACAGAAUCUGUCAAAAACAGACGAGUCUGUAGCAAUCUGUAUACUUCGUAUACUUAUGGUACCUCACAAAUUCUGAAAAUGUACUACUCUCUGGGAAAAAUUCAUAUCAACCAGAAGCAAAACGAAUCAACUCAAAAUCUCUUUCUGAAUAAAAAUGAAAAAUAAUCUCGUGAGCGAAAAGUUUCUGUCUGUUUCCAGCAGGAUCAAACAACCAUCACCAAGACUAGUCAUAAAGGUUUUGCUUGGCUCAAACACAAAAAGAAACACA
rnacentral:lncRNA from 1 species